rnacentral:rRNA from 1 species
AUUGAACGCUGGCGGCAUGCUUUACACAUGCAAGUCGAACGGCAGCGCGGGCUUCGUCCUGGCGGCGAGUGGCGAACGGGUGAGUAAUGCAUCGGAACGUGCCCAGUAGUGGGGGAUAGCCCGGCUAAAGCCGGAUUAAUCCCGCAUACGACCUGAUGGUGAAAGCGGGGGACCGAAAGGCCUCGCGCUAUUUGAUCUGCCGAUGUCGGAUUAGCUAGUUGGUGGGGUAAAGGCUUACCAAGGCGACGAUCCGUAGCUGGUCUGAGAGGACGACCAGCCACACUGGGACUGAGACACGGCCCAGACUCCUACGGGAGGCAGCAGUGGGGAAUUUUGGACAAUGGGGGCAACCCUGAUCCAGCAAUGCCGCGUGCGGGAAGAAGGCCUUCGGGUUGUAAACCGCUUUUGUUCGGGAAGAAAUCCUCUGGGCUAAUACCCCGGGGGGAUGACGGUACCGGAAGAAUAAGCACCGGCUAACUACGUG